rnacentral:rRNA from 1 species
UACGUAGGGGGCAAGCGUUGUCCGGAAUCAUUGGGCGUAAAGCGCGUGUAGGCGGCUCGAUAAGUCUGCUGUGAAAGUUCAGGGCUCAACCCUGAAAUGCCGGUGGAAACUGUCGAGCUAGAGUCCGGAAGAGGCGAGUGGAAUUCCUGGUGUGGCGGUGAAAUGCGCAGAUAUCAGGAGGAACACCAAUGGCGAAGGCAGCUCGCUGGGACGGUACUGACGCUGAGACGCGAAAGCGUGGGGAGCAAACAGG